UGAAAAGCGCCUGAUUCUGUUUCUCCUGAAAAUAUAAUUCUUUUUCUGAUUAGAGAUGCAAUUUAAAAAAAAAAAAAAAAAAAAAGGCAAAAAUGGGUAUCUUAUUUUUGUCUGUUGGCUCACAAAACCUGCAUGAACACGAGUUUUAUGUGUGUGAAACUGCCAAAUUGGAGCCAGGGUAGAAACUCUCAAGGGUCUGAAUGUUGAGCAAAAGAGAUAGAUGAAACAGCUGAGUUACUGAACUGAGAAACAUAUGUGCUGUACUUACACAUUUACCAGCGCUCUAAAGAUUUUCUGAUAUGUGGCUGCUCUCUUGAAAUUUAUUUACAUGGCAUUCUGGAGUUGUUCCCACAGAUAUGAUUCCAUUUUGAUCUGCCAAUUACAUUAUGUGCUGUUGCAAAGAAGUUUGUAAAUGAGUCUUUGUUCCUUAGAUGGAAAGCGUUUUGAAGGAGUUCUACCAGCCUGAUGGGGAGGUGGGUACAGAAAAAAAGUCUGCUGUUCAGCUGGACCAGGAAGAGAAGUGGAGAAGUUUUCAGUGGCAUUUUCAGAAGUGUUUCACAGCCAGGAGUGUUACAGGAGUGGAAGACCUUGUGCUUUUGAUAAGUCUGUGCCACAGUGGAAUUCUGGCAUCCCUUAGAUGAGGUACCCACAGCUUUUUUCCCGUCUGCUGGCAAAUUAUAGCAUGGUGCUUGCUCUGAAAAGUUAUAUGACUGGGAUUAUAUAUUUACAGUUCCCCAAGCUGUACACCGUGUGAUUAAUAGAAUUAUUUACUUAUUUAUUAUGAUGAAAUGCACUGCAAUAUGUUUGCAAGACGGACCAGAUCCAAAACCCACUGAAGACGCCCAUGAGCCCUGAGGAAUCACAUUGCCUUGCAGCCACUGUACAGCCAUGAAAACCAGCUGAAAACAAAACCGAGCCUCUUCGGAGAAAGCCCCACAAGUGACCUCUUCAGCAAAGUGGACAAAGAUUUACAUUGGCUUCUCUUCUCCCCGGCUAUCACUUACACUACAUGCACACUGUUGUUCCUCCUGCCUGUGCCAUUGUACUUCCCUUCUAACCUGUUUUCAACCUGCAAAGGCUUUUGCAAGGAAGUCAGCACACAGCAAUGGUGUGAGCUUACAGCACGUUGGCUGCUUUGUGCUAAUUUCCCAUUAGUGCACAUAGGCGGUAGUUUCGAAGAUAGGUGCGGUGCCUUGUAUGUCAGUGGGUGUUCUAAGGUCUGCAGCUGGGCAGAUGGAUCAGUACUGCCUGACAUAUCAGCUUAUAGUGCAAGGAGACCGUUACUUCAGAUGAAUUUGCUAUGGAACCGUAAAAAGCCUCUGUUAUGAAUAGUCUUCUACAGACAGGAUGAUGUAACAUCCAGUAUAAGGCACCAUAACUGUGUUGUUUACAUUUUUGGUGUGCUGUCCCAUAUAUAAAUCCCCAGUGCUCCAAAAAACAAUGCAUUAAAAGUUAAGGAUGAAUCCAAUCAAUAACCUACUGCGUUAUUCAUGGGUUCAGCAAUGCAGAGUUAAUCCUUUGGGACAAUGACAUUAGGACAUUUGAACAAAACGUACAGCACCCUGCCUAACACCCAGUCUGCACGGAGGAUAAAACCCACUGCUAUAACCUUCAUCCUCUUCCUCCAGGGAUAGAGACGUUCCUGCUCAGCACUGGAACUUCUGGAGAUGAUAAACACAAGCAACUCAUCCCCAGCUCCAUCCUGAGCACCUUCAGCAUUGCCACUCAGCACCUCAAAAUUGUGUGCGUCCAAUGCCAACUGUCCACCAUGGCAAAGGAACAAGACAUUUGCUCCAAGGGACUGCUGCUCCAUGACGAGCUCGAGAAAGAGACCGUCUGAUGGUCCCUGUGUUGCUGAGGGCUCAGCUGUCCCCCUGCCCUCCUGGACCCAUCCCGAUAGCUGUGCUCCAGAGACUGAGAACAGGGCUGGGACAGAACAGCGAGGCC
ensembl:lncRNA